ACGUACUAUAUAAAUACAAACAUUUCUGUCCAUUUCUCUCCUCAUCAGUCAUCCUUCAUCAGCUAAUAACCCUUAACCAACGACCUCCUCCUCCUCCGCCGCCGCCGGUAACUACCACGUCUCCGGCCACCGCCGGAAUCUACACAUUCGUACACAAAAAUGGAGGCUCUCCAUUUUACCUCCGUUAACUCAUUCAAUUCGUCCCUCCGUCCUGAAUUCACGCCGUCAAUAAACUCCGUCAUUGUUCCUAUUAACACCGUCAAAACCAAAAAGAAGAAAACACUCAUACGUGCUAAGGCGACGGAUAUCUUAGCGGAGCCGUUGACGGCGGCGGCGAGGGUAGAAACGUCGUCGGCACCUUCGGCUCCGUUACUACGAGUAUCUCCGAGCUCGUUGCAGUGUGAACCGGGAUAUUUGAUACCGAAUACUCCGGUUUUAGGUAGUGGUGGUUUGGUUGGAUAUGAAUAUUUGACGAAUAUAUUGUCGUCGAAAGUGUAUGAUGUAGCUUAUGAAACGCCGUUGCAAAAUGCGCCGAAAUUGUCUGAAAGGCUUGGAGUUAAAGUUUGGCUUAAAAGAGAGGAUCUUCAGCCUGUCUUCUCAUUCAAAAUCAGAGGAGCUUACAAUAUGAUGGCAAAACUCCCUAAAGAGCAGUUGGAAAAAGGGGUUAUAUGCUCAUCAGCUGGAAACCAUGCACAAGGUGUUGCAUUAUCCGCUCAGAGACUUGGCUGCAAUGCUGUGAUUGCCAUGCCUGUUACUACACCAGACAUCAAAUGGAAAUCAGUGAAGAGACUGGGUGCUACUGUUGUUUUAGUGGGAGACUCAUAUGAUGAAGCUCAAGCAUACGCCAAAGAGCGGGCCGAGGCUGAACGCCGCACAUUCAUUCCUCCUUUUGAUCACCCGGAUGUCAUCGUAGGGCAAGGUACAGUAGGAAUGGAGAUAAAUCGCCAACUCAAAGAUAACAUUCAUGCAGUCUUUGUGCCUGUUGGAGGAGGGGGUCUUAUAGCUGGUAUUGCUGCUUAUUUGAAAAGGGUUGCCCCUGAUAUAAAAAUCAUUGGAGUUGAACCACUGGAUGCAAAUGCAUUGGCAUUAUCAUUACAGCAUGGUCAGAGAGUAAUGCUGGACCAAGUUGGGGGUUUUGCAGAUGGCGUAGCUGUUAAAGUAGUUGGUGAAGAAACUUAUCGUCUCUGCAAGGAAUUGAUAGAUGGUGUAGUCCUAGUUGGUCGUGAUGCUAUAUGUGCAUCAAUAAAGGACAUGUUUGAAGAGAAAAGAAGCAUAUUAGAGCCUGCAGGUGCACUUGCUCUUGCUGGAGCCGAGGCAUACUGCAAGUACUAUGGCCUCAAGGGUGAAAACGUAGUAGCAAUAACUAGUGGAGCCAACAUGAACUUUGACAGACUUAGAUUGGUGACUGAACUCGCAGAUGUUGGUAGACAGCGGGAAGCUGUUCUUGCUACUUUUAUGCCAGAAGAGCCUGGGAGCUUCAAAAAGUUUUGUGAAAUGGUAGGACCAAUGAAUAUCACUGAGUUCAAGUACAGAUACAAGUCUGAUGAAGAACGAGCUCUAGUACUUUACAGUGUUGGUCUUCACACACAAUUAGAACUUGAAGGAAUGGUGGAGAGGAUGAAAUCAGUAGAUCUGCAAACCAUUAAUCUUACGGACAAUGACUUGGUCAAAGAUCAUCUAAGGCAUUUGAUGGGUGGUAGAACACAUGUUCAUAAUGAGCUUUUGUGUCGAUUCACUUUUCCUGAGAGGCCUGGUGCUUUGAUGAAGUUUUUAGAUGCUUUCAGCCCACGUUGGAAUAUAAGUUUGUUUCAUUAUCGUGCACAGGGAGAUACUGGUGCAAAUGUGCUAGUCGGGAUCCAAGUUCCACAGGAUGAGAUAGAUGAGUUCCAGGGACUGGCAGACACUCUUGGUUAUGAAUAUGCAGUGGAGAGUCUCAAUGAGGCAUUCCAGCUUAUAAUGCAUUGAGAAAGGUGUUGCCUGUUAUGGCAUGGCAUGUUCUGGCAUGUGGCAUCUUGUUGCAAAGAAAAUAGCGUGAUAUUCGCCGACUUCACUUUCACUUUCUCCUGGUGUGUUUGGAUUUGAACCUUAAAGAAUUUUUCUUGUUGAACAAAAGGGUUCGACACUGUGGAACAAAAGUUAAUAGAGCAAAGAAACCAAGUCUGAUCCUAUAACAAGUCUAAUAAUAAUUACAGAGGGAUUUCGCAGAAUAGAAGGGCCAUCCUUUAUCUUUUCGAAUUUUGUUCGUCAUUGACGGCCAAUUUAUUUUGGAUACUUUUAACACGUGCACCCACUGCUACUGGUGUACCUACUGAUGAUAUCCAUUUGGACUUCAAUUGUUUUUUCCUCUUGA